CGGAAAAAUUUUACAAUCAUAAUUACACGUAUUUUUUUUAUCCAAAAUUUGACAUAAAACUAUUUGGCGAAAUACAGCUAUUUUGAAUAAAUGACAAACACGGUUAUUACAUAGUACACUGUUUGUCAAGUCGGAUAUUAUUUUUUGUGCGUCCGCUGUCAUUUUUCAAAGCAGAAAAUAUUUAUAAAUAAAAAUGUCUUCAACUGUGCAUCAUAUGGCGCUAUAGUAGUAGAUCUGGCCACUGCAGCUAUGAUAACUGAAGAAAAUAGACAAAAAAAAACAAAAACAGUCUUGUAACCGCAGUAUCUGGAUGACCAAGAUGUCAUGGAACGCUGUCGCAAUCAGGUGCGCAUCAAAAUCGCUAACUAUAUGAUGGUUGAAACAUCAGUCGGCUGCAUUGUGAUGAUCUUUUGGGUAAACAUGUCCAGGAGCGGGGCGAACCCGUCCAGAAAAUGAACUUUGACUGGUACAAGGAAUACAACGAGAAAUCUGCAAAGGAAGAGACUGCCGCGAAGAUUUAAGAAAGUGCUGGUGCCUUUCUUUCUUUUCCGAAGCCUUCAGCCAAGAUGUCAUGGAACGCUGUCGCAAUCAGGUGCGCAUCAAAAUCGCUAACUAUAUGAUGGUUAAAACAUCAGUCGGCUGCAUUGUGAUGAUCUUUUGGGUAAACAUGUCCAGGAGCGGGGCGAACCCGUCCAGAAAAUGAACUUUGACUGGUACAAGGAAUACAACGAGAAAUCUGCAAAGGAAGAGACUGCCGCGAAGAUUUAAGAAAGUGCUGGUGCCUUUCUUUCUUUUCCGAAGGUUUUUGUGAUUAAAUUAACGCCCUUUUUAGAAAGUGUUUCCUAAGUACUGACAGAGAGUUUUAAAAUGCUCGUGCCUGUUUUAUUAGUUUAUCGCAGGAUUAUAACAAAAAUAUAUUUUGUAAAAUGUCUGACAUUCGCAGUUAAUAAAACAGAAUAUAU